CCGAAUAAAAUGGCCAAUGAGUGUAGGCAAGUGAUUAAUUAACCUGAUUCUAAUUCUCCUUAUAACCACAACCUUCCAUUUCAGACAACGUUCUUGUCAAUCUCUUUAUCGUUUUCUCUACACAUCUUAUGAGGAGAGAUUAAGCGAGCAACAGCCUUUCUCUUUGGAGUGAUGGAUGAUGAGAUGUGACAUGAUAGAGGUGUACAAGAUGAUAUGAUCCAUAAAUUAAGUGGACAGCCAGAGACUUAUUCACAAGGCAGAAAUGGCUAAUCUGAGGGGCAUAAUUUUAAGGUGACUGGAGCAAGUACAGGGAUGUCAGAGGGUUCUUUUGAAGACCCUGACCUGGAGUUACCUGCUGACUUUGGUUCUUUGCGGGAAUGGGACUCACUCUUGGGGUUUCAUAACCGGCCGUUGCUGUUCAGCACGCCAAGAGCCCGGCCUAAGAGUCUGGCUCAGACUUGGAAACCUAGGAUCUCGGGCUCUGGAGACGGGCGGAUCGAGGGUCAGUGUGUCGUCAGGGGAGUCAGAAUAUUUAUGGCUGUGUGCCUGGAAUCCUGAGAUCUUUGGGCACAGAGCUCAAGAAAAGCGACAUAACAGACUUUUAACAUCAUAAACCUGAAGAAGGUACAGGAGACUAAGGACCGACACAACCAGGUUCAGGAACAGUUAUUAUCUCUCAACUAUCAGGGUCCUGAACCAGAGGGGAUAACUUCACUCAACUUUUUCAAUGUGGACCAAACAAAAGAGAUGAUUGUGGAUUCAGGAAGGCACAAGCUGACCACUCUCCAUUGCACAUUGAUGGCUCUACCGUGGAACACCUCACUGGCCAAGAAGGCACAGGAACGUCCGCAUUUUCUGAGGAGAUUGUGGUGUGCAAGGCUCCCUGACCCCAUUCUAACAACUUUCUACAGGAGCACCAUCUUGACUAUUCUGACUGGCUGCAUCACUGUGUGGUACAGAAGCUGUAAGGCAUUGGACCACAAGACCCCACAGAGGAUAGUGAAAACCACCGACAGUAUAACCAGGGUCUCUCCCCCACCCCCCCAUCAUUUGUGACAUUUACUGAGAGCGUUGCAAAGGGCCCGAAGCAUUGUUGAGGAUCCUUACUACCUAUCCAACAAUCUCUU